UGAAUAUCAGCAAGAGGUGUUUGGUCCAAAGUUUCAUCAUCAGAAAUAUCGUUGAAAGACAUGUUUGAUACUAGAUCUACAGUGAUGACAACAUUCGUGUUUGAAUAGGCGCCGAAAUCGCAAGAAUCGUGUCUGCGGCUGUGUAAAAGAGAUAAGGAUGGCAUGCCAAGAUGCUGAUUGGCUACGUUAAAGACAUUUCCAUAUACAGAUUGGAAAAUAACCAAAACUUCAACCGCAUGGGAUUGAUACUUCAGCGCCAUUAUUGAACCUGAGAGUUUUUAUCAGCUUAGAUUUUUUUUAUAAAUGGUAAUGCUUUAUGGAGAGAUAAUAGUGAUAAAGAGAAGCGGUGUAGAUGGAGCACAUUUUCCCUUAACUGUUAAAAACUGUUUGUUUGGAAGGGGCAAAGAUUGUGAUAUAAUAAUUAAGCUUCCAAAUGUUUCCGGAGAACAUUGUAGAAUUAAUGUAUCAGACAAUAAACAGGUUUUUUUGACAAACUUGAGUAUAGAUAAUCCUGUCUUAGU